rnacentral:rRNA from 1 species
AAUAGAUACCCAGGUAGUCCACGCCGUAAACGAUGGAUGCUAGCUGUUAUGCGUAUCGACCCGUGUAGUAGCGAAGCUAACGCGUUAAGCAUCCCGCCUGGGGAGUACGAACGCAAGUUUAAAACUCAAAGGAAUUGACGGGGACCCGCACAAGCGGUGGAGCGUGUUCUUUAAUUCGAGGCUAAGCGAAGAACCUUACCAGGGCUUGACAUCCUUGGAAUUUCUCCGAAAGGAGAGAGUACUUUAUUGGACCAAGUGACAGGUGCUGCAUGGCCGUCGUCAGCUCGUGUCGUGAGAUGUUUGGUUAAGUCCAUUAACGAGCGCAACCCUUAUGAAUAGUUGUAUUUUUCUAUUCAGACUGCCCCGGUAACGGGGAGGAAGGGGGGGAUGAUGUCAGGUCAGUAUUGCCCUUACGCCCUGGGCUAGAACGCGCUACAAUGGCCGGUACAAUGCGCUGCCAACCCGCGAGGGGGAGCAAAUCGCAUCAAAGCCGGUCCCAGUUCGGAUAAGAGGCUGAAACUCGCCUCUUUGAAGCCGGAAUCGCUAGUAAUCGGUA